rnacentral:rRNA from 1 species
GAUGAACGCUGGCGGCGUGCCUAAUACAUGCAAGUCGAGCGAACAGACGAGGAGCUUGCUCCUCUGACGUUAGCGGCGGACGGGUGAGUAACACGUGGAUAACCUACCUAUAAGACUGGGAUAACUUCGGGAAACCGGAGCUAAUACCGGAUAAUAUAUUGAACCGCAUGGUUCAAUAGUGAAAGACGGUUUUGCUGUCACUUAUAGAUGGAUCCGCGCCGCAUUAGCUAGUUGGUAAGGUAACGGCUUACCAAGGCGACGAUGCGUAGCCGACCUGAGAGGGUGAUCGGCCACACUGGAACUGGGACACGGUCCAGACCCCAACGGGAGGCGGCAGUAGGGAAUCUUCCGCAAUGGGCGAAAGCCUAACGGAGCAACGCCGCGUGAGUGAUGAAGGUCUUCGAAUCGUAAAACUCUGUUAUAGGGAAGAACAAAUGUGUAAGUAACUAUGCACGUCUUGACGGUACCUAAUCAGAAAGCCACGGCUAACUACGUG